GGCAUUUGUGUGUCUGUUUUUGUCCAACUUGUGGACUAAGACUUAUGGACAGAUGCAGAAAAUAAAUCUUCUCUUGCAACCCAGAACUCAUUGUUCAGUACGAGAUUUGAUGCAUAACAAAGGAACAUU
rnacentral:snoRNA from 1 species